rnacentral:rRNA from 1 species
CCCUUAGAUGUUCUGGGCUGCACGCGUGCUACAAUGGCGUUUCCAGCAAGUCUGCGAACCCGAGAGGGCCAGCGGAUCUUCGAAUUGGCGUCGUGAUCGGGACAGUCGAUUGCAAUUAUUUGACUCAAACGAGGAAUUCCUUGUAAUCGCGAUUCAUCAUAUCGCGCUGAAUACGUCCCUGCCCUUUGUACACACCGCCCGUCGCUCCUACCGAUUGAGCGAUCCGGUAAAUGUUUUGGAUUGGUGCCGGGGCGGCUAGCUGCCGGUCGCUACGAAAUUUUGUGAACCUUAUCGCUUAGAGGAAGGAAAAAUCGUAACA